rnacentral:tRNA from 1 species
GGGGUUUUAGCUCAGUGGUAGAGCGUUUGCCUAGCAUGCACAAUGCCACAGGUUCAAUCCCCA